rnacentral:rRNA from 1 species
CGGGAAAAAAAAGAGGUACAGGUUGCUUGCCCGCUGACGAGUUGGCGAACGGGUGAGUAAUGCGUCGGAAUGUACCGUGUAAUGGGGGAUAGCUCGGCGAAAGCCGGAUUAAUACCGCAUACGCCCUGAGGGGGAAAGUGGGGGACCGUAAGGCCUCACGUUAUACGAGCAGCCGACGUCUGAUUAGCUAGUUGGUGAGGUAAGAGCUCACCAAGGCGACGAUCAGUAGCGGGUCUGAGAGGAUGAUCCGCCACACUGGGACUGAGACACGGCCCAGACUCGUACGGGAGGCAGCAGUGGGGAAUUUUGGACAAUGGGCGCAAGCCUGAUCCAGCCAUGCCGCGUGUCUGAAGAAGGCCUUCGGGUUGUAAAGGACUUUUGUUCGGGAGGAAAUCCCGCUGGUUAAUACCUGGCGGGGAUGACAGUACCGGAAGAAUAAGCACCGGCUAACUACGUGCCAGCAGCCGCGGUAAUACGUAGGUGCAAGCGUUAAUCGGAAUUACUGGGCGUAAAGCGUGCGCAGCGUUGUGCAAGUCUGAUGUGAAAGCCCGGCUUAACCUGGAACGGCAUGGAAACUGCCGACUAGAGUGCGUCGAGGGGGUAAAUUCCCGUGUAACAUGAAUGCUAAAGAUGGGAAGAAUACGAGGCAAGGAGCCCUGGAUAAACUGACCUCAUGCCAAAGGUGGGAACACAAAGAUAAGACCUGUAUCCCCCCUAACGAGUCACUUCUGUUGGGGUUGAUCCUGGAAGGGACUACCGUGAAUUAACCCUGGGAAUA